rnacentral:tRNA from 1 species
GCGAAAGUAGCUCAGGGGGGGUAGAGCAUCACCUUGCCAAGGUGGGGGGGGUCGCGGGUUCAAAUCCCGUCUUUCGCU